UACGUAGGUGGCAAGCGUUGUCCGGAAUUAUUGGGCGUAAAGGGAGCGUAGGCCGUCUGUUAAGCGUGUUGUGAAAUGUAGAUGCUCAACAUCUGAAUUGCAGCGCGAACUGGCAGACUUGAGUGUGCGCAACGUAGGCGGAAUUCGUGGUGUAGCGGUGAAAUGCUUAGAUAUCACGAAGAACUCCGAUUGCGAAGGCAGCUUACGGGAGCACAACUGACGCUGAAGCUCGAAAGUGCGGGUAUCGAACAGG
rnacentral:rRNA from 1 species